UAACAAGGAUUCCCCUAGUAACUGCGAGUGAAGCGGGAAAAGCUCAAAUUUAAAAUCUGGCGGCCUCCGGUCGUCCGAGUUGUAGUCUGGAGAAGCGUUUUCCGCGUCGGACCGUGUAUAAGUUUCCUGGAACGGAGCGUCAUAGAGGGUGAGAAUCCCGUCUUUGACACGGACUGCCGAUGCUUUGUGAUGCGCUCUCGAAGAGUCGAGUUGUUUGGGAAUGCAGCUCAAAAUGGGUGGUGAAUUCCAUCUAAAGCUAAAUAUUGGCGAGAGACCGAUAGCGAACAAGUACCGUGAGGGAAAGAUGAAAAGCACUUUGGAAAGAGAGUUAAACAGUACGUGAAAUUGUUGAAAGGGAAACGAUUGAAGUCAGUCGCGUCCGCCGGGACUCAGCCUUGCAUUCUUGCUCGGUGUAUUUUCCGGUGGACGGGCCAGCAUCAAUUUUGAUCGUCGGAAAAGGAUCGGGGAAAUGUGGCACCUUUCGGGGUGUGUUAUAGUCUCCGGUUGCAUACGACGGUUGGGAUUGAGGAACUCAGCAUGCCUUUACGGUCGGGGUUCGCCCACGUUCAUGCUUAGGAUGCUGGCGUAAUGGCUUUAAACGAC
rnacentral:rRNA from 1 species